rnacentral:rRNA from 1 species
GAUGAACGCUGGCGGCGUGCUUAACACAUGCAAGUCGAGCGAGGCUCCUUCCUUCGGGAGGGAUGCCCUAGCGGCGAACGGGUGAGUAACACGUGGGCAACCUGCCCCUAGCACUGGGAUAACUCCGGGAAACCGGGGCUAAUACCGGAUACGACCUCUGAGGGCAUCCUCCGGAGGUGGAAAGCAUUGUGGCUAGGGAUGGGCCCGCGGCCUAUCAGCUUGUUGGUGAGGUAACGGCCCACCAAGGCGACGACGGGUAGCCGGCCUGAGAGGGCGACCGGCCACACUGGGACUGAGACACGGCCCAGACUCCUACGGGAGGCAGCAGUGGGGAAUAUUGCACAAUGGGCGAAAGCCUGAUGCAGCGACGCCGCGUGAGGGAUGACUGCCUUCGGGUUGUAAACCUCUUUCAGCAGGGACGAAGCGAAAGUGACGGUACCUGC